AAACCCACAAAACCUACCCAUUGCCCCCAUUGCUUGGAGGAAGCCAUUGCCGGAAAAAGCUUAUGGAAGCCAUGCCGAAGAAGCCCCAUGGAAGCUAUGGUCUGUAAAGUCAAAGCCACCUCCAAGAAACUCCCGUAAAAAUCGUUUCUCUCUAGGUUUUGGUUUUGGUGCUUUUGGAAAAACCACACUUAAUUACUUCCUAAGGAAAUGUCACAUCGAAGAGGAAGAGUACAAAUAGUGUCUCCAGAAGAUGAGUUGGACAAUCUACAACAACUCUUAGACAUACAACCUGCUGCAACUACUACUCCUAGUAGUUCUGAUCCUUCUGAUUCUUCAGAUCCUUCUGUUGUUGGAAAAAUAUGAACUAGAAGAAACAUGUAAGAGCUACAUUCUUCAAUGUUGUGGAAAUUUGUUUAGAAGCUAUAGAAAUAAAAUGAAGGCCAAGUAUUAUAACCCUUAUAAUACAGAUGAGGAGAGAUUGUGCCAUCGACCUCCACACUUAUCGGAUGAUGAUUGGAGGUGGCUCAUCCACUUUUGGGGUACACCUGAGGCUAAGGAUAUCUCAGAAAAAAAACAAGGCAAAUAGGGCAAAACAAGUGAUAAAGCAUACAUCGGGAUCAAAAAGUUAUGCUCAAAUUCGAUAUGAACAGGCACAAAAGAAAGAGGAUCGAAGUGAGCCCAAUAGAAUUGAGAUGUUUGCCUUGACACACACAAGAAAAGAUGGGGCGCAUGUUGAUGA